rnacentral:rRNA from 1 species
UUAGAGUUUGAUCCUGGCUCAAGACGAACGCUGGCGGCGCGCCUAACACAUGCAAGUCGAACGAGCGAGAGAGAGCUUGCUUUCUUGAGCGAGUGGCGAACGGGUGAGUAACGCGUGAGGAACCUGCCUCAAAGAGGGGGACAACAGUUGGAGACGACUGCUAAUACCGCAUAAGCCCACAGCUCGACAUCGAGCAGAGGGAAAAGGAGCAAUCCGCUUUGAGAUGGCCUCGCGUCCGAUUAGCUAGUUGGUGAGGUAACGGCCCACCAAGGCGACGAUCGGUAGCCGGACUGAGAGGUUGAACGGCCACAUUGGGACUGAGACACGGCCCAGACUCCUACGGGAGGCAGCAGUGGGGAAUAUUGCACAAUGGGGGAAACCCUGAUGCAGCGACGCCGCGUGGAGGAAGAAGGUCUUCGGAUUGUAAACUCCUGUUGUUGAGGAAGAUAAUGACGGUACUCAACAAGGAAGUGACGGCUAACUACGUGCCAGCAGCCGCGGUAAAACGUAGGUCACAAGCGUUGUCCGGAAUUACUGGGUGUAAAGGGAGCGCAGGCGGGAAGACAAGUUGGAAGUGAAAUCCAUGGGCUCAACCCAUGAACUGCUUUCAAAACUGUUUUUCUUGAGUAGUGCAGAGGUAGGCGGAAUUCCCGGUGUAGCGGUGGAAUGCGUAGAUAUCGGGAGGAACACCAGUGGCGAAGGCGGCCUACUGGGCACCAACUGACGCUGAGGCUCGAAAGUGUGGGUAGCAAACAGGAUUAGAUACCCUGGUAGUCCACACUGUAAACGAUGAUUACUAGGUGUUGGAGGAUUGACCCCUUCAGUGCCGCAGUUAACACAAUAAGUAAUCCACCUGGGGAGUACGACCGCAAGGUUGAAACUCAAAGGAAUUGACGGGGGCCCGCACAAGCAGUGGAGUAUGUGGUUUAAUUCGACGCAACGCGAAGAACCUUACCAAGUCUUGACAUCCUGCGACGGUGCUGGAAACAGUACUUUCCUUCGGGACGCAGAGACAGGUGGUGCAUGGUUGUCGUCAGCUCGUGUCGUGAGAUGUUGGGUUAAGUCCCGCAACGAGCGCAACCCUUAUGGUCAGUUACUACGCAAGAGGACUCUGGCCAGACUGCCGUUGACAAAACGGAGGAAGGUGGGGAUGACGUCAAAUCAUCAUGCCCUUUAUGACUUGGGCUACACACGUACUACAAUGGCGUUAAACAAAGAGAAGCAAGACCGCGAGGUGGAGCAAAACUCAGAAACAACGUCCCAGUUCGGACUGCAGGCUGCAACUCGCCUGCACGAAGUCGGAAUUGCUAGUAAUCGCAGAUCAGCAUGCUGCGGUGAAUACGUUCCCGGGCCUUGCAC